rnacentral:misc_RNA from 1 species
UACGAACCGGACGAACGUUAUUCGGAAUUAUUGGGCUUAAAGAGUGCGUAGGCGGCCUGGCAAGUUGGGUGUGAAAUCCCUCGGCUCAACCGAGGAACUGCGCCCAAAACUGCCGGGCUUGAGAGAGACAGAGGUGAGCGGAACUGAUGGAGGAGCGGUGAAAUGCGUUGAUCUCAUCAGGAACACCGGUGGCGAAGGCGGCUCACUGGGUCUCAUCUGACGCUGAGGCACGAAAGCUAGGGGAGCGAACGGG